AUAAAACAGUUAUCAUUAAUUGGCGAUAAAAAUCUAGCUGAUACAAUUAAAAAUAUUUUGCUCUUACUGCCAACAGACACUAUUUUGUCAGAAUACAGCAUGAUUUGUCUAAAGAAGAAAAAAAGUUUAAAGAGUUAACAAGUCUAUGUAACGCUGUCACUGAAACUGCUUUAAAGUCAAAUAAAAACUUAACCAAAAUGGAUGCUAUCCAACUUAUUGGGGGAGUAGUUAGGCAUUCUUCUGACCGAAUAAA